AGCGUAGGCGGCCUCUUAAGUCAGAUGUGAAAUCCCGGGGCUUAACCCCGGAAGUGCAUUUGAAACUAUUAGGCUUGAGUAUGGGAGAGGGAAGUGGAAUUCCUGGUGUAGAGGUGAAAUUCGUAGAUAUCAGGAGGAACAUCGGUGGCGAAGGCGACUUCCUGGACCAAUACUGACGCUGAGGCGCGAAGGCGUGGGGAGCAAACA
rnacentral:rRNA from 1 species